UACAGAGGUCUCAAGCGUUGUUCGGAUUCAUUGGGCGUAAAGGGUAUGUAGGUGGCGCCGUAAGUCGGGUGUGAAAUUUCGGAGCUUAACUCCGAAACUGCAUUCGAUACUGCGGUGCUUGAGGACUGGAGAGGAGACUGGAAUUCAUGGUGUAGCAGUGAAAUGCGUAGAGAUCAUGAGGAAGACCAGUGGCGAAGGCGGGUCUCUGGACAGUUCCUGACGCUGAGGCACGAAGGCCAGGGGAGCAAACGGG
rnacentral:rRNA from 1 species